ACAAAUGCAACGAAAGAGAGUAGUACGUUUUUAGCCACCAUGCAGGGAGAAAAUGCCUUAGACUGGAAGCAUUUUUAUGGAAGGGGAAACUGAAUUCACUCUGGAGCAGACACUGGACCACAAGUGAGACUUGUGAAGGUGUUCCGGUUUUAGCCGUUACAGCAAUGAAGAUAAUAGUGUAUAAGUGUAUUUUUAUGUACAUUAUUAACUAAGGGUGGUACCACGAGUCUUCGUCCCUUUU
rnacentral:ncRNA from 1 species